rnacentral:piRNA from 1 species
AGCAGGUCUCCAAGGUG